GUGGGGAAUUUUGGACAAUGGGCGCAAGCCUGAUCCAGCAAUGCCGCGUGCAGGAAGAAGGCCUUCGGGUUGUAAACUGCUUUUGUACGGAACGAAAAGGCUCUGGUUAAUACCUGGGGCUCAUGACGGUACCGUAAGAAUAAGCACCGGCUAACUACGUGCCAGCAGCCGCGGUAAUACGUAGGGUGCAAGCGUUAAUCGGAAUUACUGGCGUAAAGCGUGCGCAGGCGGUUUUGUAAGACAGGCGUGAAAUCCCCGGGCUCAACCUGGGAAUGGCGCUUGUGACUGCAAGGAUGGAGUGCGGCAGAGGGGGAUGGAAUUCCGCGUGUAGCAGUGAAAUGCGUAGAUAUGCGGAGGAACACCGAUGGCGAAGGCAAUCCCCUGGGCCUGCACUGACGCUCAUGCACGAAAGCGUGGGGAGCAAACAGGAUUAGAAACCCUUGUAGUCC
rnacentral:rRNA from 1 species